rnacentral:rRNA from 1 species
CAGCACCGCGGUAAUACAGAGGGUGCGAGCGUUAAUCGGAUUUACUGGGCGUAAAGCGUGCGUAGGCGGCUUCUUAAGUCGGAUGUGAAAUCCCUGAGCUUAACUUAGGAAUUGCAUUCGAUACUGGGAAGCUAGAGUAUGGGAGAGGAUGGUAGAAUUCCAGGUGUAGCGGUGAAAUGCGUAGAGAUCUGGAGGAAUACCGAUGGCGAAGGCAGCCAUCUGGCCUAAUACUGACGCUGAGGUACGAAAGCAUGGGGAGCAAACAGGAUUAGAUACCCCAGUAGUCCCUGUCUCUUAUACA